CGGUAAUGAGAGUCGUCGACGGAAACGUUGGCUUUUUUGCAAUAAGAGAUAUAGAGGAGGAGGAAGAAAUCACUUAUUCUUAUAACAAGGGAGCUAAACAAUGCUACCCUUGGAGGGUGAAGGAUAAAAAAACCACCACGAAGAAUAGUUGUGACGAUGAUGUCGUUGAUGCUGCUGAUGAUGGGAAUAAACUGAAAAAUGCUGAAAGAUCG